UUCGGGGUUAAGUCCCGCAACGAGCGCAACCCUUGUCACUAGUUGCCAUCAUUUGGUUGGGCACUCUAGUGAGACUGCCGGUGACAAACCGGAGGAAGUGGGGAUGACGUCAAGUCCUCAUGGCCCUUAUGGGUAGGGCUUCGCACGUCAUACAAUGGUCGGUACAGAGGGCUGCCAAGCCGCGAGGUGGAGCCAAUCCCUUAAAGCCGAUCGUAGUCCGGAUCGUAGUCUGCAACUCGACUACGUGAAGUCGGAAUCGCUAGUAAUCGCAGAUCAGCAUGCUGCGGUGAAUACGUUCCCGGGUCUU
rnacentral:rRNA from 1 species